rnacentral:tRNA from 1 species
AAGGGAGACCUAAUUCAGGUAUGGGACGAAAAAAAAGUAGUCGCUACCGAGGAUCAAUCCCAAAGGGUCGGAGCGAGGUAUGAGGCUUUCAAACUAGGUUCUGGGUUCAAACAAGACCUGAAUCAGGAACAAGGGCUAUUAGCUCAGGUGGUUAGAGCGCACCCCUGAUAAGGGUGAGGUCCCUGGUUCGAGUCCAGGAUGGCCCACCUGCACAGGUGGCAAAAACAAGAGAAGCGAGGAAUCAGCACCUUAUCUUAUCUAUAUAUAUAUAGGAGAGAAUGCUGGCUCUGAGUAAAGAGUCCAGAGGAACCUUGAAAACUGCAUAGAGCUAGGUGAAAAAGCCAAAAAAGAAGACCGCAAGGUCAAGCUAAUAAGGGCUAACGGUGGAUACCUAGGCAC